rnacentral:pre_miRNA from 1 species
AGAAGAGCUGGACUAGUACUGGUCCCUGCAGGCUGAGGAGAGUGCCGCGGUGGUCACCUCACAGUCUGCUGAGGUCGGAGCUGCUGACAUG